AACGCCGCGUGAGGGAGAGGCCUCUGGGCUGUAAACCUCUUUUCUCAAGGAAGAAGGUCUGACGGUACUUGAGGAAUAAGCCACGGCUAAUUCCGUGCCAGCAGCCGCGGUAAUACGGGAGUGGCAAGCGUUAUCCGGAAUUAUUGGGCGUAAAGCGUCCGCAGGCGGCUCUUCCAGUCUGCUGUUAAAAAGUGGAGCUUAACUCCAUCGUGGCAGUGGAAACUGUUGGGCUAGAGUGUGGUAGGGGCAGAGGGAAUUCCCGGUGUAGCGGUGAAAUGCGUAGAUAUCGGGAAGAACACCGGUGGCGAAGGCGCUCUGCUGGGCCAUAACUGACGCUCAUG
rnacentral:rRNA from 1 species